UACGGGGGGGGCAAGCGUUGUUCGGAAUUACUGGGCGUAAAGGGCUCGUAGGCGGCCAACUAAGUCAGACGUGAAAUCCCUCGGCUUAACCGGGGAACUGCGUCUGAUACUGGAUGGCUUGAGUUUGGGAGAGGGAUGCGGAAUUCCAGGUGUAGCGGUGAAAUGCGUAGAUAUCUGGAGGAACACCGGUGGCGAAGGCGGCAUCCUGGACCAACACUGACACUGAGGGGCGAAAGCCAGGGGAGCAAACGGG
rnacentral:rRNA from 1 species